AGUCCUUUCUCGCUUCAUCCGCGGUCCCUGUCUGUUUUCGUUAUGGCGCCUUGUACUUCUACCCAACGUUGCCCGCCCCCCAUCUUCCCAGCCCACCAGCUCCGUCCGCCUCUCCGGAUGAUUCGUGAGAUACCGAGCCUGCCGGGAAGGGACCGGAUUUUUCCGUCUGGUCCAAGGAAGCACGGGUUAUGGCCACAUGCGCAGUGAUAACUCAGGGCCCCACGCCUUUUGACCCGUGAGUGUUGUAGGCUUGGGGGUGACGGGAUCUGGUAAGAGCAUUUGUGCCUUUACUGGAUUACGUGCUUGGGUGCAGUAACCUUAUUAGGAUGACGCCAAUGGAAGGGCCUGUGACCAUUACCUCCGAGCGACCUUUUUGUGAUUAACCUCGCUCCUAUGUUGGGUGGAAUUUGGGUCCUACCACGUGCUAGGCGAUCGCUAUGUCAACCAUAGUAUUAAAGCCUUAAAAAAAAAAAAGUCAGGAUAAUGGGCCCUACAGAGUUGGGCAAGGAUUAUACAACCUCGGCUUUCUCGCUUUCUGAUUGCAAAAAGCCGCCAUUUUAUUCAGCUAAACCUGAUGUCCACAGCGCGUUAAAAAGCGUUUGUAGGCGGUAGGGUCAUUAAUUUGAGACUGCUUUGGGUUAUAGUCAGGAACCUAUCCCAAUGUCUAAAGCUUCACGUAUUGAACUAGGAGCCAUCGGAGCCCACAGGAUUGCCUUUUCAGGCGUCUCUCUAGUAGGCAGUGGUGAGGCAUGUGGCUUGUGGGUUUGAGGUCUAGCAAUUGCUAUCGCUGUCUGUGGCCCUUAUCGAAGCUGCAGCAGCUUCUACAUAGCUGCUGUGGUCAAAAAGGUGGCCCAGAGAAAGAAUUUUCCUUGACGGUCGCAGUUCUGUUUCCUGUAACUGAUCUGCAACAUUGUGGAAAAUGACAGCUUCACCUUACUAUUUCUCUGGAGUAUGUAGCAAUCUUUAGGCUUUUAUUCCUGGGGGGGGUGGGAGGGGAUAGGAGGUAGACCGGUGAGUGAGCUCAAUCUGAUUUACAAUUCAGGCCUGUAUUGAUCAUCUAUUGGUAAAUAAACAAUGCCUUGGUCACUGUCACAGUCCCUAUAAGGUAAUGACUGGGAAUAUGGAACAAGAUUAUUGUGGCUAAUUCUGUUGCCAUUCAUCUUAGCUGUUGAUGAAGAUUGUGAGGAGGGAGACCAGAAGAUAAUGGACAACGAUACAGCAGAAGGGUCUGGUAAGCUCCGUUUAGUUGCACUACCCGGGGAGACCUGAGGCAUGUUUCCAAGGGCUGUGGCUGCCUGUAGCCAUGGGAUCUCCAACUGCAUGCCAGAGUAAUGGAGAGACUUUGACAGCUCAGGUCAGCACAGUGCCUGCAGCUGCCACUCAUCUUUCCUAUAUAUGUAUAUCAGGCCUCAAGUUGAGCGCCCUCUACCUGUGAGGCUAUUGUUCUGUGGUAUUUACAACAAAUGUUUCUUCUGCAGGUUACACUUGAGCUUAUUUCUUGGAAGAGUCUGAGAAGACGGCCUGUCAGGCUCCUAACACUAAGGUAAUUGCUGGCUAAGACAGCCUGACCCUCCGGUUUCCCUUUCCCAUCGGAUCUUGACGCUGGUCUUGGUGGUCGUUAAGGAGGAAGAGCACCCUGAAGCUGGCCUCACAGCGAUGCAGUCUGCUGUAGAGCAGCAGGCCAGACUCAGACAUGCCUGGGCUUUGAAGUGGGAAAACUUGAGAACUGAUCAGUAUUGCUGAGUAAUGGCUUACUUUCAUGGUUUUUUUUUUUUAAGGGCCAUGUAACCAGUGAAGCAGCCAUUAUAUAUGAUUUGGUCUACACUUGUUGGGUAAGCUUAAGGAUUGUUAACCCUUUUCCUAAGUAGUAUAGCAGAAAUUCAGGUUUGCAUAGUGGCUAGCCAUCUAUAAGCCACCUCCAUAAUUUAUGUCUGAACUAGUUAGCUGUUCACAUCUGGGGCAAAGAUGUGUGCCAUGUUGGCUGGUAUUUGUCAAUUGAACAUUGCAUGAGUACAGACACUGGUCCAUGAUGAAACCCAUUAUCAGUGGACAUCUAUGGAUGAGAAAUGCGGAUAUGGGACUGAGACCAGUUCUUAGGAAAGCCUGAGUUGGGGAAUGAGCCUGAAGGUGGAACUAACAUAGACUUGCACUUCCUUUUCAGAAAAAUUCCACAAGAGGAUCUCCUGGAAGCUAGCAGAAGUUUUUGGCUUGUACAUUGCCAGGCAGCCAUUGGAAUCGGAGCUGCAGUCAGAUUAAGGCCAGCCUGGCCUACAUUGAGAAACCUCAUUUUGGGAAAGUGAAAUACUUUGUCAAUUAACAUGCAGUUGGUUCAAUAAAGACUUUUGGAAAGUGUCCUCUUUUUUAUUUAUUUAUUUAUUUAUUAUAUGUAAGUACACUAUAGCUGUCUUCAGACACUCCAGAAGAGGGAGUCAGAUCUUGUUACAGAUGGUUGUGAGCCACCAUGUGGUUGCUGGGAUUUGACUCAGGAUCUCUAGAGCAGUCGGGUGCUCUUACCCACUGAGCCAUCUCACCAGCCCUCUGUAACUGAAUUUUAAGUGGCAGCUUGGUCUGCUGCAUUGUGAGUUCUAGGGCUGCCAUGUCCUACCAUUGGCCAACCAUUAGGUAUUCUGGGGUUGGAGUUUUUUUUUUUUGAUGAGCACACCAGGAUCAGGCAGGCACGGGAAGCUGUUAAGGCCUGUUAACCUAUGGUGGGCAUUCUAAUUAAAGCCACUAGUUGCUUAGCAUUGACAGGCUAGAACUGCUAGGGUACUUAAAAAAA
rnacentral:lncRNA from 1 species